CUUUAUUGCGUCACCGCGACUCCAGAGCGCGCGCCGGGAUCAUAAGCACGCCCGCGCCCCCGUGCUUGCGCAUCUUCCUCUGCCAGGCGCGCGCCGCGACCUCGGGAUCUACAUCCGCGUCCCCCUUCUUUUCCAGCAGGCGCAGGCGCGCGGUGGUCUCGGUCAGCAUGUCCAUGAGCAGUUCUUGCUGCAGCUUCAGGUAGUUGUUCUCCUCCAGCAGCACCUGGCUCUUGAUCGGCUGCACCUGUGGCUCCCAGGCCGGGCCGGUGGACGAGGGCGGCGGCGACCGCGGGCGUGAGUGACACUCCUCCUCCGCGGUCCAGCGGCCGCCGCGGAACACGAAUUCCUCGUUGCUCAGCCGGGUGCGCGGCGCGCCGUAGUUCAGCCCCAGCUCGGCCUGGCGCGUGCGGUGGUCCAGCAGGUAGAAGGUGGACAUGGAUGAGAAGUGGCGCAGCGGCGGCCUCCGCGGCGAGAAGCGGCGCGAGAAGUGGUCGGCCCAGAACUGCCGCAGCUCCUCCCAUAGGUGGCUCGCGUGGCUCGCGACCAGGGACUUGAAGGCCUCCAGGGCGAAGUGUGGGUGGGCCACGCGGAGCGCGUGGGUGUCUGGAGCCCUGCUGUCCUGGAAUUGAUGGAGGCGAGCCAGUGGCACUGCUGAGAAGCAAAUGGCCGUGUUCUGUCUGCACAUAUCCCUGCAAACCAGAAGAGGGCACCAGAUCUCAUUACAGAUGGUUGUGAGCCACCAUGUAGCUGCUGGGAAUUGAACUCAGGACCUUUGGAAGAACAAGCAGUGCUCUUAACCUCUGAGCCAUCUCUCCAGCCCCCUCUACCUGCUUCUUAUCUCUUUUCCCAACACCUACAAAGUACUGAUUGUACGGUGUGUUGUUUUAAAGACCUUUCCUGCCGGUGGUGGGAGUAAAGAGAAAUACAGGCAGGGUUCCCUCUGCCACACCUGCAUUAAAUCAACACACAUUUGGGCAGAGGCAGGCUCAUUGAUUCCCCACCCAUGUCUAGUUUAUGGAGACCACUUCUGGAAGCCCCUGCACAUCUAUCCUUGGGGUUACAACUCCCCGGAAGACUGUUCCUUGACAUUCCUUGCGAGUUGUUCCUUACCUGGAAGAUGUGGUGGAGGUGCCCAAGCUGCGGUCCCAGGCCUGGCCCCAUUUCUGGAUCACUUCACCCCGCUUGUCUGCCAGCUAUGACUCACAAUGCCUCCUGGCCAGGCCUCCUAGGGUAGAAGAGGUUCUGACAGUAAAGCUGGGGGACAGUGUGUUCAGUUAAGUGAAAUCAGUGAGCAUUCACUAUGCUCCAGGCUGUUCUGGGGAAGCGAAGGCGUUUUUAUCAUUAAAUAGCACUCCUUGUUUUGUUUAGGCCUUUGUUGUUUUGAUUUGGGACUUUUGAGACACAAUCUUACUCUGUAGCUCAAGCUACAUGGUCUUGCUAUGUAGCCCAGGCUAAUAGGAAUCCUCUGAGGGGUGGUGGUGGCACACACCUUUAAUCCUAGCACUCUGGAGGCAGAAGCAGGAGGAUCUCUGAGUUCUGGGCCAGCCUGGUCUACAGAAUGAGUUCAAGGACAGCCAGGGGCUACACAGAGAAACCCUGUCUUGAAAAACCACACCAAAAAUCUCAAACUCACAGAGAUCCACUUGCUUCUGCCUCAGAGCGCUGGGAUCAGAAGGCAGCAACACGCCUUUGCCUAGUCUUCCACCUUAUUUUUUGAGGCAGAGCAUCUCACUGAACUUGGAGCUCACAGAACCAGCCAGGAUAGCUGGCCCAUAAGCUCUGGGAUUGUUCCCGUCUCUAUCUCCACUUCUGCCAGGGAAGUGUCUUCUGGGAGUUGUAAUAACACAGAGGGUGAGUUUGUGGGGGCUCCCAGAGAUGAUGUCUGUGAACUACGUGGGAGUAGGGUACCACCCAGCCUCUGCCCCACUGUGAGACUUAGGUGUUGUUAGUGAAGGUAUGGCAGAGGGAUCCUGCCUGUUACUUCACUCCCUCCCCCAGGUUCCAGAUGGAUGCUGCUGCGCCCUGCAGAUUGCGUGUAGGGUUGCAUGGGUGUCAAUGUCCAAUGUCCUCUUGUCUCUGUACCCCAAUUCCACCCAGCACAGGGGUUAUAGAAGCAGGCUGCCACACCCACUUUAUUACCUGAGUCCUCGUGUUCUGUACUCACAUUCCCAUGCUUGUGCGGCAGGCACUUUACUUACUGAGCCUUGUCCCCAGCCCAUUACUUGGGGGUUUGUUUUGUUUUGUUUCGUUUUGUUUUGUUUUGAGACAGAGUUUCUCUGUGUAGCUUUGGAGCCUUUCCUGGAACUCACUCUGCAGCCCAGGCUAGCCUCAAAUUCACAGAGAUCCACCUGCCUCUGCCUCCCAGUGCUGGGAUUAAAGGAAUGCGCCACCACUGCCUGGAGUUUACUUGGGUUUUUUGAGACCUGGUCUCACUUUGUUAGCCUAGGUUGGCUCAGUCUCCUAGUUCUAAAUCCUCUGGCCUAUAGGCUCAUGGCAGACAGUCAGUUUAACCCACCAUUCUUAGCAAUGGGAGGUUACCAUAAGGAGUCUGAAAUUGUUCUGGGGAUUACUGUGGUGUAGAUGUGGAUUGUCCUCCAGGAAUUGGUGUGUUGCAAGCUUAGUCCUGAGUGUGGCAAUGGAAUGGUUUUGGGCCAGGAGAUAGAGCCCAGGGCCUCCUGCAUGAUAUAUGUGUUACUUUUCCACUGAGCUACACCUCCACUCCCUACUGGAACCUUUAAGAGGAGAGGCCCAGAGCAAUGAGGUCACUGGGGAUACCCACAGAGAGGGUUAGUUCCUGAAAGACUGGUUUACAGAGUGAGCUGGACCCCACCCCUGUCUGGGGGGUUUAUGCAGUUAAUGGUUGAUGGUGUGGCCACUGGUUAAGGUUCUCAUGCUCCUGUUAGUGACCCUAAUGAAAUUCAUUAGUUUAUUGGGCUUGCAUAAGCUCUCUGUCAGACACACACACACACACACACACACACACACCAUGAAAGUAGAAGAGGGCUAAUUGGAAAGAGGAAAAUGAUUAGCAAUAGUGAUGGGGGAAGAGAGGAUAAGGGGGUAAAUAUGAUCGAAAUAAACUAUGUACAUCUAUGACAAGUUAUAAUGAAA